AGAUCUUGUCGUCCUUGGGUUCUC
rnacentral:siRNA from 1 species